GAUGAACGCUGGCGGCGUGCCUAAUACAUGCAAGUCGAGCGAACAGACGAGGAGCUUGCUCCUCUGACGUUAGCGGCGGACGGGUGAGUAACACGUGGAUAACCUACCUAUAAGACUGGGAUAACUUCGGGAAACCGGAGCUAAUACCGGAUAAUAUAUUGAACCGCAUGGUUCAAUAGUGAAAGACGGUUUUGCUGUCACUUAUAGAUGGUUCCGCGCCGCAUUAGCUAGUUGGUAAGGUAACGGCUUACCAAGGCGACGAUGCGUAGCCGACCUGAGAGGGUGAUCGGCCACACUGGAACUGAGACACGGUCCAGACUCCUACGGGAGGCAGCAGUAGGGAAUCUUCCGCAAUGGGCGAAAGCCUGACGGAGCAACGCCGCGUGAGUGAUGAAGGUCUUCGGAUCGUAAAACUCUGUUAUUAGGGAAGAACAAUUGUGUAAGUAACUAUGCACGUCUUGACGGUACCUAAUCAGAAAGCCACGGCUAACUACGUG
rnacentral:rRNA from 1 species